AUUGAACGCUGGCGGCAGGCUUAACACAUGCAAGUCGAGCGGAGAGAGGUAGCUUGCUACCGAUCUUAGCGGCGGACGGGUGAGUAAUGCUUAGGAAUCUGCCUAUUAGUGGGGGACAACAUUUCGAAAGGAAUGCUAAUACCGCAUACGUCCUACGGGAGAAAGCAGGGGAUCUUCGGACCUUGCGCUAAUAGAUGAGCCUAAGUCGGAUUAGCUAGUUGGUGGGGUAAAGGCCUACCAAGGCGACGAUCUGUAGCGGGUCUGAGAGGAUGAUCCGCCACACUGGGACUGAGACACGGCCCAGACUCCUACGGGAGGCAGCAGUGGGGAAUAUUGGACAAUGGGCGCAAGCCUGAUCCAGCCAUGCCGCGUGUGUGAAGAAGGCCUUAUGGUUGUAAAGCACUUUAAGCGAGGAGGAGGCUACUCUAGUUAAUACCUAGAGAUAGUGGACGUUACUCGCAGAAUAAGCACCGGCUAACUCUGUGCCAGCCGCCGCGGUAAUAC
rnacentral:rRNA from 1 species